UGGGUGACCUGCCCUCAGCUCUGGGAUAAGCCUGGGAAACUGGGUCUAAUACUGGUUAUUCACUUCUCAUCGCAUGGUGGGUGGUGGAAAGUUUUUUCGGCUGGGGAUGGGCCCGCGGCCUAUCAGCUUGUUGGUGAGGUAAUGGCUCACCAAGGCGACGACGGGUAGCCGGCCUGAGAGGGUGACCGGCCACACUGGGACUGAGACACGGCCCAGACUCCUACGGGAG
rnacentral:rRNA from 1 species